ensembl:snRNA U6 U6 spliceosomal RNA
GUGCUUGCCUUGGCAGCACAUAUACUAAAAUUGGAACGAUACAGAGAAGAUUAGCAUGGCCCCUGUGCAAGGAUGACAUGCAAAUUUGUGAAGUGUUCCAUAUUUUU